GACGGAGGAUGCAAGUGUUAUCCGGAAUCACUGGGCGUAAAGGGUGCGUAGGCGGGUCUUUUAAGUCAGGGGUGAAAUCCUGGAGCUCAACUCCAGAACUGCCUUUGAUACUGAAGAUCUUGAGUUCGGGAGAGGUGAGUGGAACUGCGAGUGUAGAGGUGAAAUUCGUAGAUAUUGGGAAGAACACCGGUGGCGAAGGCGGCUCACUGGCUCAUUUCUGACGCUCAGGCGCGACAGCGUGGGGAUCAAACAGG
rnacentral:rRNA from 1 species